GCGACUGUAGCUCAGCUAGGAGAGCAUGAUACUUUCUCGGGAUUUUCAGGUGCCUGUUCAAGUCAGGCCGGUCGUA